rnacentral:tRNA from 1 species
AUGCAAUGAACUUAAAAUUCAAUUAUAAAGAUAUUUCUUUUUUUAGAA